rnacentral:misc_RNA from 1 species
CUGGCUGGCUCCAUGCUUCUGCAUCGAACGGUUGGCAUGCAAUCCGGUUUCAAGUGAACGUCCCUCUUAGUUGCGUGAUUUCGGUUCCUGCGUUGCCUACCUCUUGAAAGGUAUUCGUGUGGCUUGUCGGAUUUUUGUCCAUCCAGUCCUCCUCGAGGGGCUCUGGGGGAUAUCGAAAUGAUACAUGUGUUCCACGCGUUGUUUGAUGUUGAAGCAACCGUGGUGCAUAUGUAUUUGUUGCUCUCUCGGAUGCGGUGCAUGAGAUGAAACAUGGGAAAUUUUCCACUGCUGUCCCUUUAAUCUCGGUUGCCUUGAACGACACUUGCCUCUGUGCUUGCUUGCUCUCCACUCGUGGUUUUGCAUGCAGGCACCGACGAGCAAAGUUGUUGAUGGAUG